rnacentral:rRNA from 1 species
GACGAACGCUGGCGGCGUGCUUAACACAUGCAAGUCGAACGGAAACGCCCUGCUUCUUUGUGUUGCUCGAGUGGCCAACGGGUGAGUAACACGUGAGUAACCUACCCUUGACUUUGGGCUAACUACAGGAACCUGGGGCGAAUACCGGCUACGAGCUCCUGCUGCAUGGUGGGGGUUGGAAAGUUACGGCGGUUGGGGAUGGACUUGCGGCUGAUCAGUUUGUUGGUGGGGUAGUGGCUUACCAAGGCUUUGACGGGUAGCAGGCCUGAGAGGGUGACCGGCCACAUUCGGACUGCGAUACGGCCCACAGCCCUACGGGAGGCAGGAGUAGGGAAUAGUGCCCGAAGUGCGGAAGCCUGAUGCAGCAACGCCGCGUGCGGGAUGACAACCUUCGGGUUGUAGGCCGCUUGCGCCUGUAACGGUGCGUCAGUGACGGUAAUGGGUAAAUAAGCACCGGCUAACUACGUG